rnacentral:rRNA from 1 species
AACGAACGCUGGCGGCAUGCCUAACACAUGCAAGUCGAACGAGACCUUCGGGCCUAGUGGCGCACGGGUGCGUAACGCGUGGGAACCUGCCCUUAGGUUCGGAAUAACUCCCCGUAAGGGGUGCUCAUACCGGAUAAUGUCAUCGGACCAAAGAUUUAUCGCCUUAGGAUGGGCCCGCGUUGGAUUCGCUAGUUGGUAGGGUAAAAGCCUACCAAGGCGACGAUCCAUAGCUGGUCUGAGAGGAUGAUCAGCCACACUGGGACUGAGACACGGCCCAGACUGCUACGGGAGGCAGCAGUAGGGAAUAUUGGAGGAUGGACGAUAGCCUGAUCCAGCAAUGCCGCGUGAGUGAUGAAGGCCGUAGGGUUGUAAAGCUCUUUUACACGGGAUGAUAAUGACAGUACCGGGAGAAUAAGCACCGGCUAACUACGUG